rnacentral:lncRNA from 1 species
CCGGUGGAAGUUCAUCGGCACCCGCAGCAAGUACACCCGCACCAGCAGCUGCACCACCGGCACCCGCAGCAAGUACACCCGCACCCGCAGCGGCACCCGCAGCACCCAAACCCCCGGGGUAAACGGCAUUGGUCGAGCUGUUCCAACUUGUAGCAGAUUUAUAUUGUGUUUAAAUUCAAUAUCCUAUCCAAAAAAACUUUUUAAAAAAUAUAAUAAAAGUGAAAGUCUACAUUUAAAAAAAAAAAAGUUGUAAGAAUCUAUGAAACGUUUUAAUUUUUGUUUUUAUAAAUAAUUCAUGUUGAAUGCAUCUCAACUAAACAACAGAUUAAUUAAGG